UACAGAGGUCUCAAGCGUUGUUCGGAUUCAUUGGGCGUAAAGGGUGCGUAGGCGGUCUGUUAAGUCAGUGGUGAAAUAUGGCAGCUUAACUGUCAGGGUGCCAUUGAUACUGAUGGACUUGAGUGAAGUCGAAGUAGGCGGAAUUGACGGUGUAGCGGUGAAAUGCUUAGAUAUCGUCAAGAACACCGAUAGUGAAGACAGCUUACUAGGCUUAUACUGACGCUGAGGCACGAAAGUGUGGGGAUCAAACAGG
rnacentral:rRNA from 1 species